GAUACAAAUGUUUUACAAAAGAGAACGAAUUGAAAUUCUUUCUUCCAAUUUCUUUUUUCGGUAUGCCGCUCCAAUAGCAAGGAGCGAGAGAAUCAAAUAAAAAAUUGGCUAUGUUUCCGUCCAAUGAAUUUGCAAAAUACAUAAAAAAUAGAGAUCAAGUGAAAGAUACGAGUGUUACGAGUGUCCCCAAAUACAGAAGAAAGGAAGAAAGUAUGCUCUUACAACUUUCAAAUAAAAUCUAUACA
rnacentral:lncRNA from 1 species